ACACAUUUUCCCUUCGCAAAACCCCCAUUUAAGUGAAAAUCUCGCGUUUUCCCUUUGAGAAUCGUCAAUUUAAGUGAAAAUCAAGCGUUUUCUCUUUGAGAAUCCUCCCAUUUAACGAAAAUCACGUGUUUUCUCUUCGCAAAUCCCCCAUUUAACCAGAAAACCAAGCAUUUUCUCUUCGAGAAUCCCCCAUUUAACCCGAAAAUCAAGCGUUUUCUCAAAUCCCCCAUUUAAGCGAAAAUCACGCGUUUUCUCUUCGCAAAUCCCCCAUUUAACCAGAAAACCAAGCAUUUUCUCUUCGAGAAUCCCCCAUUUAACCCGAAAAUCAUGUGUUUUCUCAAAUCCCCCAUUUAAGCGAAAAUCACGCGAUUUCUCUUCGCAAAUCCCCCAUUUAACCGGAAAACCAAGCAUUUUCUCUUCGAGAAUCCCCCAUUUAACCCGAAAAUCACCGUUUUCCUCUUUGAGAAUCCCCCACUUAAGUGAAGAUCACGAAUUUUCUCUUCUCAAAUACCCCAUUUAAGCGAAAAUCACGCGUUUUCUCUUCGGAAAUCCCCCAUUUAACUUGAAAAUCACGUUUUCUCUUCGAGAAUCCAACAUUUAAGCGAAAAUCACGCAUUUUCUCUUCGCAAAUCUCCCAAUUAACACAAAAAAACACGAGUUUUCUCUUCAGAAAUCCCACAUUUAACCAGAAAUCACACGUUUUCCCUUCGCAAAUCCCCCAUUUAAGUGAA
ensembl:lncRNA